rnacentral:rRNA from 1 species
UGCGUAGGCGGCCUAUUAAGUUGGAUGUGAAAUACCCGGGCUUAACUUGGGGGUGCAUCCAAAACUGGCAGGCUAGAGUGCAGGAGAGGGAAGCGGAAUUCCUAGUGUAGCGGUGAAAUGCGUAGAUAUUAGGAGGAACACCAGUGGCGAAGGCGGCUUUCUGGACUGUAACUGACGCUGAGGCACGAAAGCGUGGGGAGCAAACA